ACUCCUACGGGAGGCAGCAGUGGGGAAUAUUGCACAAUGGGCGCAAGCCUGAUGCAGCCAUGCCGCGUGUAUGAAGAAGGCCUUCGGGUUGUAAAGUACUUUCAGCAGUGAGGAAGGCGGGUACGUUAAUAGCGUGCUCGUUUGACGUUAGCUGCAGAAGAAGCACCGGCUAACUCCGUGCCAGCAGCCGCGGUAAUACGGAGGGUGCGAGCGUUAAUCGGAAUUACUGGGCGUAAAGCGCAUGCAGGUGGUUUGUCGCGUCUGCUGUGAAAUCCCGAGGCUCAACCUCGGGUCUGCAGUGGGUACGGGCAGACUAGAGUGCGGUAGGGGAGAUUGGAAUUCCUGGUGUAGCGGUGGAAUGCGCAGAUAUCAGGAGGAACACCGAUGGCGAAGGCAGAUCUCUGGGCCGUAACUGACGCUGAGGAGC
rnacentral:rRNA from 1 species